rnacentral:misc_RNA from 1 species
UGUGGGAGCGGGCUUGCUCGCGAAUGCGGAGUGUCAGUUGAUACAGUCAUGCCUGAUACACUGCAUUCGCGAGCAAGCCCGCUCCCACA